rnacentral:lncRNA from 1 species
CCUCAGCAACUAUAAGCCCAACCAAGGCCUGUUUAAGGGAGGAGACACGUGGUCACCUCCACGUCCACGUGAGGAGGGCUAAGAACAGUCUCGCUUUGUGCUGUGAGGAUAAACCAGAUGGUGCGGAUACCGUGCUCCGUGCUGUCUCCAGGCCUAAGACUACCUAACCAGCCUAGUUCCAUCUUUGUCAGACCCAGGGGCAACUCAGGGCCGCAGCUGUCUUGUUGGAUGUGCUUGGGGAGACAGCAGAAGAUUGAGUGGGGGCUCCACAUGCUCAGAGAAUGUUCACAGCACAAUAGAUGAGAGCAGGUGGGGACUUGGGAAAUAGAGAGGCAGCCCCUUCCCCAGUAAUCCAUACACAGAGCCUUGACCAGGUGCCUCUGUUUUUUCCCCUCCUGGGUGGGGUUGGGGUGGGGAGGUGGCAGUUUAACCAGGGUGACCUGGCAUGGAAAUGUGACUGAGGUGCUGUUUCUCAUCACCACUGAGACAAAGCAAAAGGAUGGGGAUGGUGUGUCUGGUGGGCUCCAGUGAGCAGGCAGUUUCUGCUACAUCCUUCCUAAGAUGCUGUCUUCCCAAGGCCUCCUCUAAAUCAAUAGCAAAGGCCUCUUCUAGAACAAUAGCAGGAGCCCAGUGCAGCUUAGAGUCCCCCAGGUCUAAGUUCUGAAUCCAGCUGUCACCCAGCAACAACCGGUGUCCUCACAAAAGACACUUGACCUAGCACUGGGGCUGAUGUCAUUGGUUGUUACUGGGCAACCGGGAUCUCAGCAGGUUCUGGGUGAAGCCUCUGCAGCUCUCUCCAGGGGAUGGGGAUGGGGGGUGCUGUGCCGUGUAGUUGCUCUCAAAAUGGAAAUGCAGAUCUGCAGCCCAGAGGCGAGUCUCGGCCAUGCUUCCCUGACAUGGGCUGCAGCCUCUCCUGCGUCACGUCUCGGGCUGAGUGGCCAUGGAGAGCACAGACGGACAAAAGUGGUGGGUGGGGUAGGGCAAGAGGCACCGGUGCCCAGUGAUUCACCCAACCUGCUACUGUUCCAAUCCAUGGGAGAGGACCAACAGGGCCUUGCAUCCUCUGCUGUCUGUUGGAACUCUGUCUGUCUGGGCUUUUCCUCUCACCUCCUCAGGCUGUCAAGGUGUUGGGGUGUCCCCAGAAGAUAUUUUGGUACCCUGUGUGAAAGCACGUGUCCUCUCAAGUGCCUCCCUGCACAGGUAUAAGCAGGGCUCAAGGACAGGCAGUGUGGUUCACAGGGAAGAGCACUUUGGAGGGACUCAGAGGGCCUGGGCCUGCU